rnacentral:rRNA from 1 species
ACGAACGCUGGCGGCGUGCCUAAUACAUGCAAGUCGAGCGGACGAAUCGAAAGCUUGCUUUUGAUUCGUUAGCGGCGGACGGGUGAGUAACACGUGGGCAACCUGCCCUGUAGACGGGGAUAACACCGAGAAAUCGGUGCUAAUACCGGAUAACACGAAAUGUCGCAUGACGUUUCGUUGAAAGACGGUGCAAGCUGUCGCUACAGGAUGGGCCCGCGGCGCAUUAGCUAGUUGGUGAGGUAACGGCUCACCAAGGCGACGAUGCGUAGCCGACCUGAGAGGGUGAUCGGCCACACUGGGACUGAGACACGGCCCAGACUCCUACGGGAGGCAGCAGUAGGGAAUCUUCCGCAAUGGACGAAAGUCUGACGGAGCAACGCCGCGUGAGCGAAGAAGGCCUUCGGGUCGUAAAGCUCUGUUGUUAGGGAAGAACAAGUAACGCAGUAACUGGCGUUACCGUGACGGUACCUAACGAGAAAGCCACGGCUAACUACGUG